UCCGGGGCAGCCUAAUCAGGGCCAACCCGUCUCUGUGGCAAAAGAGUGGGAAGACCCCCGAGUAGAGGUGACAAGCCUACCGAGCCUAGUUAUAGCUGGUUGCUUAAGAAAUGAAUGUUAGUUCAGCCUUAUGUAAUUCUAUAACCGAAACAAUUAUUAACCAAAAGAACAAAAGCAAUACAUAAGAGUUAGUCAAAGGGGGUACAGCCCCUUUGAAACAGAACACAACCUUAUUCAGGAGGACAAGGAUCAUAUCAUAAAAGGACAAAAUUACCUCAGUGGGCCCAAAAGCAGCCACCUGUAAAGAAAGCGUUAAAGCUCCGGUAAAUGCAGACCAAUAAUAAAGACAACACACUCCCUACCCCCUAAAAAUAUUAAGCUAUCCUAUGCACACAUAGGAGAAACAAUGCUAAAAUCAGUAAUAAGAGGACCCAAGUCCUCUCCUAGCACAUGUGUAAGUCAGAACGGACCAACCACUGACAAUCAACGGACCCACAAGAGAGAAAAAGAACAAACUACAAAAAACAAGAAAAAACUAUUUAACACCCCAAACCGUUAACCCAACACAGGAGUGCCUCAAGGAAAGACUAAAAGGAGAAGAAGGAACUCGGCAAACACAAACCCCGCCUGUUUACCAAAAACAUCGCCUCUUGCUAACAAAGGAAGUACUAGAGUCCCGCCUGCCCUGUGACCACAAAGUUUAACGGCCGCGGUAUCCUGACCGUGCGAAGGUAGCGUAAUCAUUUGUCUUUUAAAUAGAGACCUGUAUGAAUGGCAUAACGAGGGUUUAACUGUCUCCCUCCCCCAGUCAAUGAAAUUGAUCUGCCCGUGCAGAAGCGGACAUAAACACAUAAGACGAGAAGACCCUAUGGAGCUUUAGACAAAAGAUCAAACAUGUAAAGAAACCAAACCAACCAAAAGGAACACAAAGGCCACAAAACCCAACGUAAAAUGAUCAAAAUGUCUUCGGUUGGGGCGACAUGGGGGAAAGAAAAGCCCCCACGAGGAACUAAGGGCAAUCCAUUAAGCCAAGAGAUACACCUCUAAGCAACAGAAAAUCUGACCAAAAAUGACCCAGGACACUAAUCCUGAUCAACGAACCAAGUUACCCUAGGGAUAACAGCGCAAUCCUUUCCCAGAGCCCAUAUCGACGAAAGGGUUUACGACCUCGAUGUUGGAUCAGGACAUCCU
rnacentral:rRNA from 1 species